rnacentral:tRNA from 1 species
GGAGGCAUAGCUCAGUUGGGAGAGCGCGCGCUUCACACGCGUGAGGUCAUGGGUUCGAGUCCCCUUGUCUCCA